rnacentral:rRNA from 1 species
GAUGAACGCUAGCGGCAGGCUUAAUACAUGCAAGUCGAGGGGUAGCAAGAUUGUAGCAAUACAAUUGUUGACGACCGGCAAACGGGUGCGGAACACGUACACAACCUUCCUACAAGUGGGGAAUAGCCCAGAGAAAUUUGGAUUAAUACCCCGUAACAUAGCGAUGUGGCAUCACAUUGCUAUUAUAGCUUCGGCGCUUGUUGAUGGGUGUGCGGCUGAUUAGAUAGUUGGCGGGGUAACGGCCCACCAAGUCUACGAUCAGUAGCUGAUGUGAGAGCGUGAUCAGCCACACGGGCACUGAGACACGGGCCCGACUCCUACGGGAGGAAGCAGUAAGGAAUAUUGGACAAUGGACGCAAGUCUGAUCCAGCCAUGCCGCGUGAAGGAUUAAGGUCCUCUGGAUUGUAAACUUCUUUUAUAAGGGACGAAAAAAGGUCUUUCUAGAUCGUCUGACGGUACCUUAUGAAUAAGCACCGGCUAACUCCGUGCCAGCAGCCGCAGUAACAC